rnacentral:lncRNA from 1 species
GUCUGUGUGGAGUCUUAAACUGCAUCAACAACAUACUAGUGGUAGAUUAGUUGACCUGGAUUUGUUUUUCGAACCUUGGACAAAGGUGCUGCUUAGUUUUGGUGAAAAAUGACUUGUAUAUAUUGUUCCAUACUUUUGUUUGUAUACUUGAAUAAAACUAUUUCCGACAUUUUGAUGGACGAAAUAUUUGUAUUUAAUAAUUUUCUUUCAGUAAAUAAUUUCAAUUGCUUAAGAC